UGGGGAAUAUUGGACAAUGGGCGCAAGCCUGAUCCAGCCAUGCCGCGUGAGUGACGAAGGCCUUAGGGUUGUAAAGCUCUUUUGGCGGGGACGAUAAUGACGGUACCCGCAGAAUAAGCCCCGGCUAACUUCGUGCCAGCAGCCGCGGUAAUACGAAGGGGGCUAGCGUUGUUCGGAAUCACUGGGCGUAAAGCGCACGUAGGCGGAUUUGUAAGUCAGGGGUGAAAUCCCGGGGCUCAACCUCGGAACUGCCUUUGAUACUGCAAGUCUCGAGUUCGGGAGAGGUGAGUGGAAUUCCUAGUGUAGAGGUGAAAUUCGUAGAUAUUAGGAAGAACACCAGUGGCGAAGGCGGCUCACUGGCCCGAUACUGACGCUGAGGUGCGAAAGCGUGGGGAGCAAACGGGAUUAGAUACCCACGUAGUCCCUGAGCGGGCUGGCAAGGCGCAU
rnacentral:rRNA from 1 species